AAAAAGAUUGGAGAGAUAAUUUCCCCAUAUUCAGAAUGUGACUGUUCAAUAAUGUCUUUUGACAAAAAUUCCGCAAUUUCGUUAUCAAUGGCCUGUUGCUCAGCGGAUGAAAACUUAUAUUCUGGAUUUGACAUUAUGUCUCGCUGGCAUAGGUUCAUAAUCAAAUUCAAUUGCACAACUGCUAACACAACGCAAAACAGAAGGGUCGGAUGUAAUGUCCUGCCAUUGUUUUACGUGAAACUUCAACUGUCCCCCAACAAAACGUGGUUGGUUAUUAACUAAUUUAUCUAUAUGUUCCCUGUAACUAACCUGGUGAGGAGUGAUUAGUUGCGACUGGGUUUUGUCUGUGUUGCACCCAUUUUGGCUCCUAGUCGGCGUCGAUAGGAGCCUCUGCCUCCGAAAAAAGAUGGAAAACUUCGAGGAACGGGA